rnacentral:rRNA from 1 species
UGGUGGAGUGAUUUGUCUGGUUAAUUCCGAUAACGAACGAGACCCCAACCUGCUAACUAGACUGGUCUAGUUCACGCUAGAUCAGCGCUUCUUAGAGGGACAUUUCGGAUUUACCGGAAGGAAGUUUGGGGCGAUAACA